rnacentral:rRNA from 1 species
AGCUCCAAUAGCGUAUAUUAAAGUUGUUGCGGUUAAAAAGCUCGUAGUUGGAUUUCUGUCGAAGACGGUCGGUCCGCUCUAUGAGCGUGUAUCUGAUUCGGCUUUGGCAUCCUCGUGGGGAACGUAACUGUGCUUGAUUGCAUGGUGCGGAAUUCACGACUUUUACUUUGAGGAAAUUAGAGUGUUCACGGCAGGCAAGCGCCUUGAAUACAUUAGCAUGGAAUAAUAAUAUAGGACUUUGGUUCUAUUUUGUUGGUUUCUAGGACUAAAGUAAUGAUUAAUAGGGAUAAUUGGGGGCAUUUGUAUUAACGCGUCAGAGGUGGAAUUCUUGGAUUGCGUUACGACAAACUACUGCGAAAGCAUUUGCCAAGGAUGUUUUCA